AUUGAACGCUGGCGGCAUGCUUUACACAUGCAAGUCGAACGGCAGCGCGGGCUUCGGCCUGGCGGCGAGUGGCGCACGGGUGAGUAAUACAUCGGAACGUGCCCAGUAGUGGGGGAUAGCUCGGCGAAAGCCGGAUUAAUACCGCAUACGACCUGAGGGUGAAAGCGGGGGAUCUUCGGACCUCGCGCUAUUGGAGCGGCCGAUGGCAGAUUAGCUAGUUGGUGGGGUAAAGGCCUACCAAGGCGACGAUCUGUAGCUGGUCUGAGAGGACGACCAGCCACACUGGGACUGAGACACGGCCCAGACGCCUACGGGAGGCAGCAGUGGGGAAUUUUGGACAAUGGGCGAAAGCCUGAUCCAGCAAUGCCGCGUGUGUGAUGAAGGCCUUCGGGUUGUAAAGCACUUUUGGCGGGAACGAAAAGGACUGUGCCAAUACCACGGUUCGAUGACGGUACCCGCAGAAUAAGCACCGGCUAACUACGUG
rnacentral:rRNA from 1 species